rnacentral:rRNA from 1 species
AUUGAACGCUGGCGGCAGGCUUAACACAUGCAAGUCGAGCGGGGUGAUGGUGCUUGCACUAUCACUUAGCGGCGGACGGGUGAGUAAUGCUUAGGAAUCUGCCUAUUAGUGGGGGACAACAUCUCGAAAGGGAUGCUAAUACCGCAUACGUCCUACGGGAGAAAGCAGGGGAUCACUUGUGACCUUGCGCUAAUAGAUGAGCCUAAGUCGGAUUGGCUAGUUGGUGGGGGAAAGGCCUACCAAGGCGACGAUCUGUAGCGGGUCUGAGAGAAUGAUCCGCCACACUGGGACUGAGACACGGCCCAGACUCCUACGGGAGGCAGCAGUGGGGAAUAUUGGACAAUGGGGGGAACCCUGAUCCAGCCAUGCCGCGUGUGUGAAGAAGGCCUUAUGGUUGUAAAGCACUUUAAGCGAGGAGGAGGCUCUUUUGGUUAAUACCCAAGAUGAGUGGACGUUACUCGCAGAAUAAGCACCGGCUAACUCUGUGCCAGCCGCCGCAGUAA